rnacentral:rRNA from 1 species
UCAUCUCCGGGGGUAGAGCACUGUUUCGGCAAGGGGGUCAUCCCGACUUACCAACCCGAUGCAAACUGCGAAUACCGGAGAAUGUUAUCACGGGAGACACACGGCGGGUGCUAACGUCCGUCGUGAAGAGGGAAACAACCCAGACCGCCAGCUAAGGUCCCAAAGUCAUGGUUAAGUGGGAAACGAUGUGGGAAGGCCCAGACAGCCAGGAUGUUGGCUUAGAAGCAGCCAUCAUUUAAAGAAAGCGUAAUAGCUCACUGGUCGAGUCGGCCUGCGCGGAAGAUGUAACGGGGCUAAACCAUGCACCGAAGCUGCGGCAGCGACGCUGAUGCGUUGUUGGGUAGGGGAGCGUUCUGUAAGCCUGUGAAGGUGUGCUGUGAGGCAUGCUGGAGGUAUCAGAAGUGCGAAUGCUGACAUAAGUAACGAUAAAGCGGGUGAAAAGCCCGCUCGCCGGAAGACCAAGGGUUCCUGUCCAACGUUAAUCGGGGCAGGGUGAGUCGACCCCUAAGGCGAGGCCGAAAGGCGUAGUCGAUGGGAAACAGGUUAAUAUUCCUGUACUUGGUGUUACUGCGAAGGGGGGACGGAGAAGGCUAUGUUGGCCGGGCGACGGUUGUCCCGGUUUAAGCGUGUAGGCUGGUUUUCCAGGCAAAUCCGGAAAAUCAAGGCUGAGGCGUGAUGACGAGGCACUACGGUGCUGAAGCAACAAAUGCCCUGCUUCCAGGAAAAGCCUCUAAGCAUCAGGUAACAUCAAAUCGUACCCCAAACCGACACAGGUGGUCAGGUAGAGAAUACCAAGGCGCUUGAGAGAACUCGGGUGAAGGAACUAGGCAAAAUGGUGCCGUAACUUCGGGAGAAGGCACGCUGAUAUGUAGGUGAAGUCCCUCGCGGAUGGAGCUGAAAUCAGUCGAAGAUACCAGCUGGCUGCAACUGUUUAUUAAAAACACAGCACUGUGCAAACACGAAAGUGGACGUAUACGGUGUGACGCCUGCCCGGUGCCGGAAGGUUAAUUGAUGGGGUCAGCGCAAGCGAAGCUCUUGAUCGAAGCCCCGGUAAACGGCGGCCGUAACUAUAACGGUCCUAAGGUAGCGAAAUUCCUUGUCGGGUAAGUUCCGACCUGCACGAAUGGCGUAAUGAUGGCCAGGCUGUCUCCACCCGAGACUCAGUGAAAUUGAACUCGCUGUGAAGAUGCAGUGUACCCGCGGCAAGACGGAAAGACCCCGUGAACCUUUACUAUAGCUUGACACUGAACAUUGAGCCUUGAUGUGUAGGAUAGGUGGGAGGCUUAGAAGUGUGGACGCCAGUCUGCAUGGAGCCGACCUUGAAAUACCACCCUUUAAUGUUUGAUGUUCUAACGUUGACCCGUAAUCCGGGUUGCGGACAGUGU